AAAACUUUCAACAACGGAUCUCUUGGUUCUGGCAUCGAUGAAGAACGCAGCGAAAUGCGAUAAGUAAUGUGAAUUGCAGAAUUCAGUGAAUCAUCAAAUCUUUGAGCGCACAUUGCGCCCCUUGGUAUUCCGGGGGGCAUGCCUGUUCGAGCGUCAUU
rnacentral:rRNA from 1 species